CUGGCUCAGGAUGAACGCUGGCGGCGUGCUUAACACAUGCAAGUCGAACGGGGAUGCUUAUGGAAGGAGUGCUUGCACUUUGGAAAUGAGUAUCUUAGUGGCGGACGGGUGAGUAACGCGUGGGUAACCUGCCCCAUACCGGGGGAUACCACCUGGAAACAGGUGCUAAUACCGCAUAAGCACACGGGAGCGCAUGCUCUGUGUGAAAAACUCCGGUGGUAUGGGAUGGACCCGCGUCUGAUUAGCCAGUUGGCAGGGUAACGGCCUACCAAAGCGACGAUCAGUAGCCGGCCUGAGAGGGUGGACGGCCACAUUGGGACUGAGACACGGCCCAAACUCCUACGGGAGGCAGCAGUGGGGAAUAUUGCACAAUGGGGGAAACCCUGAUGCAGCGACGCCGCGUGAGUGAAGAAGUAUUUCGGUAUGUAAAGCUCUAUCAGCAGGAACGAGACAAGACGGUACCUGACUAAGAAGCCCCGGCUAACUACGUGCCAGCAGCCGCGGUAAUACGUAGGGGGCAAGCGUUAUCCGGAAUCACUGGGUGUAAAGGGAGCGUAGACGGCUGUGCAAGCCUGAAGUGAAAGGCGGGGGCCCAACCCCUGGACUGCUUUGGGAACUGUACGGCUGGAGUGCAGGAGAGGUAAGUGGAAUUCCUAGUGUAGCGGUGAAAUGCGUAGAUAUUAGGAGGAACACCAGUGGCGAAGGCGGCUUACUGGACUGUAACUGACGUUGAGGCUCGAAAGCGUGGGGAGCAAACAGGAUUAGAUACCCUGGUAGUCCACGCCGUAAACGAUGAUUACUAGGUGUCGGGGGGCAGAGGCCCUUCGGUGCCGCAGCAAACGCAUAAAGUAUCCCACCUGGGGAGUACGUCCGCAAGGAUGAAACUCAAAGGAAUUGACGGGGACCCGCACAAGCGGUGGAGCAUGUGGUNUAAUUCGAAGCAACGCGAAGAACCUUACCCGGCCUUGACAUCCCCCUGACAGUGUAUGUAAUGUACAUUCCCUUCGGGGCAGGGGAGACAGGUGGUGCAUGGUUGUCGUCAGCUCGUGUCGUGAGAUGUUGGGUUAAGUCCCGCAACGAGCGCAACCCUUACCCACAGUAGCCAGCACAAAAGGUGGGCACUCUGUGGGGACUGCCGGGGACAACCCGGAGGAAGGUGGGGAUGACGUCAAAUCAUCAUGCCCCUUAUGGCCGGGGCUACACACGUGCUACAAUGGCGUAAACAAAGGGAAGCGAGAGAGUGAUCUUAAGCGAAACUCAAAAAUAACGUCCCAGUUCGGAUUGCAGUCUGCAACUCGACUGCAUGAAGCUGGAAUCGCUAGUAAUCGCGGAUCAGAAUGCCGCGGUGAAUACGUUCCCGGGUCUUGUACACACCGCCCGUCACACCAUGGGAGCCGGGAAUGCCCGAAGUCGGUGACCUAACCUGAAAAGGGAGGAGCCGCCGAAGGCAGGUCUGGUAACUGGGGUGAAGUCGUAACAAGGU
rnacentral:rRNA from 1 species